UGGUGCGAUCAUACCAACACUAAUGCACCGGAUCCCUUCAGAACUCCGCAGUUAAGCGUGUAUCGGCGAGAGUAGUACGAGGAAGGGUGACCUCCUGCGAAGUCCUCGUGCUGCACCCC